UAAUUUACUGUGGCGUGCUUUCAGAGUAAUGGUUCGCUCUAAAGUUUGCUCUCGUCCGUUGCGAUAUGCUAUAAACAUAAAUCAAGCUUGUUUGUUUACCACCUAAUAAUUAUAAUGGGCGGUAAAGACCCUUUAUUAGAUAAAGAAAUUUACAGGUUAACCCAAGAAUUAAAGGAUGUUGUGGACUAUGGCACCCUGGAUACCAUAUCAACGCUAAUUCAAGAAGAUUACCCUAAUGUUUCUACAUCUCAAGAGAUUACUUCUGAAGAAAAACCUGACCAAAAUAUUAACCCUUCGUUUAGAAACGGUUCCUUUUUAACUACGACCAGUGCUGCAACCUUAAACAAACUUGAGAACUCCUCUUCCAUAAUCCUGUCUAAUAAAAAUAAUUUAUGUAAUUCUUGUGAAAUUUUGUCUUCCGUGAAAGUGUCCGAGGCUCCCAGAAAUUCGAAUUGUGGCCUAAAAUCCCCUUCGCAGCAGAAACCUAUUAUAAUACCGAAAUUGAAUAAAGAUGAGGAGCAACCUUGCGGUUACGCGACUAUGGAAGAAAUUGAUCUAUAUGAAAGUUUGAAGGAACCAGGCAACUUUUGAGUUUUUUGUCAGCUUCUGAGGUUUACUUAACCCUUUUUCUGUCGCCCACGUCAUUCUUGCUCUGAGUCGUUUAAAGAAUUUUUUGAAUACUUGUAAAGUUUAUUUUAGCAUAAAGAAAGUUUCUCCCUAUCAAGAGACUUCAACUAUGAAUUAUAUGUUGCGCAAGCAAAAGCAAUUAUUGAGGCAUGUAAAAGAAGAAUUGAAAGUUUAAAAGAACUUGAAAAGAAAUUUAAGUUAAACAGCGACUCGAUGUAGUGUUGAAGAGCACCAAAAAACCUUAAUACACAAAACUAAGUUAUUUUUAUCCAGUAAAUUUAUAAUAAUCAGUACCGAAAGGAAAUAAAUAUAUAAUAGUGUUGGUAAGGUGUAAUAAAUAAAGUUUUUGAGUUAAGUUAAA